rnacentral:lncRNA from 1 species
GCCCGGCCCCUCUGACCUAUGCAAUCCUAUGGUUUGUCUACUAUAAUCCAUACACUGUUACGCGGGGCGGUGCAGGUGAACCCAAAUGCAGACUCAGACGAGGAGACGAGGUUAGGUAACCAAUGUAUUUAUUAUCAGGAGAGGAGAUGGGGUGGGUAGUAGGGAAUCCGGACUGAGGCUGAGGGCAAGGAGAUUAGGAACCAGGUAAGCAGGUCUGGAGAAGAAUCCAAUGACGCAGUAGAGCGGGGAUCCAGGGCAAGGAAGCAGGACUGAAGAGACGAGGGACUGGAGACAGGUACCAGAGUCAGAGCAGACGGGACUGUAGCAGAGAGAAAAAGCAGCGUGAGGCUAGGAACAAACAGCUAGAAAUGCAGACUGACUGAGUAGAGGCUACGAUCUGGCAGCGUGGAAGUGGCAGGGCUGAGUAUUUGUAGAGGUCUUGAUUACGGAACAGGUUGCAGCUGGUGGGAUUUGGUUACCACAGGGUUAACAGGGUUACCACAGGGUUAACAGGGUUACCACACGUUACCACAGCGUUACCACAGGGUUAACAGCAUUACCACAGGGUUAACAACAUUACCACAGGGUUAACAGGGUUACCACACGCUACCACAGCGUUACCACACGUUACCACAGGUUACCACAGCGUUACCACAUGGUUGCCACAGGGUUUACAAGGUCACCACAGGGUUAACAGGGUUACCACACGCUACCACAGCGUUACCACAGCGUUAACAGGGUUACCACAGAGUUACCACAGGGUUACCACAGUGUUACCACAGGGUUUACAAGGUUACCACAGCGUUACCACAGCGUUACCAAAGGGUUAACAGCAUUACCACAGCGUUACCACAGCGUUAAGAGGGUUACCACAGCAUUACCACAGGGUUAACAGCGUUAUCACAGGGUUACCACAGCGUUACCAAAGUGUUAACAGUAUUACCACAGCGUUACCACAGCGUUACCAGCGUUACCACAGCGUUAACAGGGUUACCACAGCGUUAACAGGUUUACCACAGCGUUAACAGCGCUAGCACAGCGUUAUCACAGUGUUAACGCAGAGUUAACAGGUUUACCACAGCGUUACCACAGCGUUAACAGGGUUACCACAGCGUUAACAGGGUUACCACAGCGUUACCACAGCGUUAACAGCAUUACCACAGCGUUAACAGGGUUACCACAGUGUUACCACAGCAUUAACAGGGUUACCACAGCGUUAACAGGGUUACCACAGCGUUACCACAGCGUUAACAGCAUUACCACAGCGUUAACAGGGUUACCACAGUGUUACCACAGCAUUAACAGGGUUACCACAGCGUUAACAGGGUUACCACAGCGUUACCACAGUGGUAACAGGGUUACCACAGCGUUAACAGGUUUACCACAGCAUUAACAGGGUUACCACAGCGUUAACAGGGUUACCACAGGGUUAACAGCGUCACCACAGGGUUAACAGGGUUACCACAGCAUUACCACAGGCUUACCACAGGGUUACCACAGCGUUACCACAGGGUUAACAGUGUCACUACAGGGUUAACAGGGUUACCACAGCAUUACCACAGGGUUAACAGCAUUACCACAGCGUUAACAGGGUUACCACAGCGUUAACAGCAUUACCACAGGGUUACCACAGCGUUAACAGCAUACACAGAUACAUUUUCAGUUUAAAGAUCAAAUGUAGCAGUUGUCAGUCUUGUAAAUACACAUUCAUGUUUAUUACCAAUUCAUCUGACUAUACAUCAUUACACUUUUAGACAUUUGAUUUAAAACAUUCAUUUUUUUUCCCCACAAUCUUGCUUUUUCUUCUUUAAAAGAAAAACAUUUAAUUAUAUUUAUCUCAUAGUAACAACUGUACAAGGACAGUAAAGUAGUACAAUCAUCUACUUAAACAUGGAUCUUAAUUUAAAUUAAAUUGUGACAACAAAAUGACAGCUGAAGAUAGCUCACCAUGGUUCUUUUCGAUCGCGGGUUUGGACAAUGCGCAAUUUAAAGGUUAUUUUUUUGAUUAAGUCGACAUAUGGAGCAUUGAAUGUGUCUCUGCAAAACGCAGGAACAUUACCUUUUAAAAACGCGCAUUACGGACAAAGUGCGAUCGGAGUAAAUCCCGUCCCUUUAGGGGUCUAUUCAGUCUGUAAAAGGUAAAGCAGUGACACAUUCCAUGAAAGAAAUGUAAAGGUAAUUUUCCGAUUGGACCGACACGUGGAAUGCAGUCUCCGUUAAAGCGGGAAACAUGGCCUUUACAUUUCAAUCACGCUGCGAAGCUGAAGUUACGCGAUGCGGAUUGAAUAGAGCCCCUUAGUCGAGUGUUUACAUCCCAGCGGCAUGACAGAGCACAGUGACAGCAGUAGCUUGUAUGUACAUGCACUAAAGUGCUAGAGUGUUGUUGUUUUUUUACAAAGGCAUGCAGAGCAAAUACGAUUGCAUCCCAAAUAGCACUCUAUUUGCUACAUAGUGCAUUACUUUUGACCAGAGCCCUAUGGUGAAUGCAUUCAGUUGUAUAACUGACUAGGUAUCCCACCCACCCCCUCCCCCCUUUCCCUAUGUGAAUAGGAUGCCAUUUGGGAUAACAGCCUAUGUAACUGAUAAUUGUUACAACUUCCUUCCACAUAUGCAUAAGGGUUAUUCAGUUGCUAUCUUCCCUCUCUUCUUCUACACGUUUACAGAGUUGAACAUUCAUUUCAAACAUAUAGAAAUACAUAUAUUAGCAUCGUAACUGACAUCAUGGAUUCACCUGCCUCAGCCAACAGGAAGCAGUAUUUUUUAUAUUUUUUUGUCUUAAAACAUUUGUUUGUUUGUUUAUUCUACAAAUACAAGUGUCUGACUUCAAGCUUCGAAGGAACAAACAGUAACAUAAGAUAUGUUCAACUGAAUAAGAAAAUAGUUUAAGAGUAUUUACACACAGCACAGAAUAUAACAAAUGAUACGUAUAUGCAGAAUAAACAAAAACAUAAACCAACAGAAAAUGUGUAUACCUUUAUGUUCAUACCGGUAUUAGCAUAACGGUUUUAUAGUUCUCUCAACAUCUGAAAAUGUGUUUAUUAUAUGACUAAUAUAUAUAUACAGUACCAGUCAAGAGUUUGGACACACCUACUCAUUCAAGGGUUUUUCUUUAUUUUUACUAUUUUCUACAUUGUAGAAUAAUAGUGAAGACAUCAAAACUAUGAAAUAACACAUAUCAAAUCAUGUCAGUAACCAAAAAGAAGUGUUAAACAAAUCAAAAAUAUAUUUGAGAUUUGAGAUUCUUCAAAGUAACCACCCUUUGCCUCGAUGACAACUUUGCACAACGAGCAUCAUGAGGAAUACUUUUCCAACAGUCUUGAAGGAGUUCCCAAAUAUGCUGAGCACUUGUUGGAUGCUUUUCCUUCACUCUGUGGUCAAACUCAUCCCAAGUCAUCUCAAUUGGGUUGAGUUGGACCGCAGAGUGAAGUAAAAGCAUCAGCAUAUGUAGGAACUCGUUCAAGACUUUUGGAAAAGUAUUCCCGGUGAAGCUGGUUGAGAGAAUGCCAAGAGUGUGCAAAGCUGUCAUCAAGGCAAA